GAAAGUGGAAUUCCAUGUGUAGCGGUGAAAUGCGCAGAGAUAUGGAGUAAGACCAGUGGCGAAGGCGGCUUUCUGGUCUGUAACUGACGCGGAUGGGCGAAAGCGUGGGGAUCAAACAGGAUUAGAGGCCCUGGUAGUCCACGGCGUAAACGAUGAGUGCUAAGUGUUAGGGGGUUUCCGCCCCUUAGUGCUGCAGCUAACGCAUUAAGCACGCCGCCUGGGGAGUACGGUCGCAAGACUGAAACUCAAAGGAA
rnacentral:rRNA from 1 species